rnacentral:miRNA from 1 species
GUCCCCGGGGCUCCCGCCGGC